UUAGGCCGGCUGGACUAUAGGAAAUAGGCUCGUGAGAGACGAGGUCUAUUUGACUUGUGAGCGAAAGUAUCUUGAUUGGGUAUCUUUGAUAACUCUAGAAAGUGGAGUUAAAUUGAAGUGUAUAGCUUCUAACUUCGCGGAGGGUUACGUUGGCGGCCGACAACGUAACAUCGGGAGUUAGUGGUGAAGAACACUUCCUUACUUUCGCAUGAUUUGGGUAUUGUCU
rnacentral:lncRNA from 1 species